GAAGAAACCCGNUGGGUUUNGACGGUAACCUCAGAGGAAGCCCCGGCUAACUACGUGCCAGCAGCCGCGGNAAUACGUAGGGGGCAAACGUUACUCGGAAUUACUGGGCGUAAAGGGUGCGUAGGCGGCUGGGAAAGNCAAAGAUGAAAUCCCGUGGCUUAUCUGCGGAACUGUCUUUGAAACUUCCCGGCUUGAGGAUAAUCGAAGAGAACGGAAUUCCCGGNGGAGCGGGGAAAUGCGUAGACAUCGGGAGGAACACCNGAGGCGAAAGCGGNUCUCUAGACUACUCCUGACGCUGAGGCACGAAAGCUAGGGGAGCAAACGGGAUUAGAUACCCCGGNAGNCCUAGCCAUCAACGAUGGAUACUGGAUAUUCCUGCACUCAUGUGGGAGUGNCGAAGCUAACGCGNUAA
rnacentral:rRNA from 1 species